GCUUGGAUAUGAUAGCACAGUCAGUAGAGCAUGCAACUCUUACUCUCAGGGCCGUGGGUUUGAGCCCCACAUUAGGUG